AUGGUGGCCAUGCCUGGUCUCGACCCCUCGAGGACGGCACUGGGGAUGGGGACGGCGGCUGUGCCCAGUCUCGGCCCCUCGCAGGUGGAAUUGGGGAYGGGGAUGGUGGYCGUGCCCGGUCUCAGCCCCUCGUGGGCAGCGUUGGGGAUGGUGGCCGUGCCCGGUCUUGGCCCUUCGAGGGUGGUGCUGGGGACGGGGAUGGGGAUGGUGGCUGUGCACGGUCUCGGCCCCUUGAGGACGGCGUUGGGGAUGGGGACGGCAGCUGUGCCCACUCUCGGUCCCUCGUGGGUGGAAUUGGGGAAGGGGAUGGCGGCCGUGCCAGGUCUCAGCCCUUCGAGGGCGGUGCUGGGGAUGGCGGCCGUGCCAGGUCUCGGCCCCUCGCGGGUGGAACUGGGGACGGGGAUGGCAGCCGUGCCAGGUCUCGGCCCCUCGCGGACGGCAUUGGGGAUGGUGGCCGUGCGUGGUCUUGGCCCUUCGAGGGCGGUGUUGGGGACAGGGACGGCAGCCGUGCCUGGUCUCAGCCCUUCGAGGGCAGUGUUGGGGACGGGAACGGCAGCUGUGCCCGGUCUCAGCCCCUCACGAGCAGCGUUGGGGAUGGGGACGGCGGCCAUGCCCGGUCUCAGCCCCUCACGAGCAGCGUUGGGGAUGGGGACGGCGGCCAUGCCUGGUCUCAGCCCUUUGAGGGCGGUGCUGGGGAUGGGGACGGCAGCUGUGCCCGGUCUCGGCCCCUCGAGGACGGCGUUGGGGAUGGGGACGGCGGCUGUGCCCGCUCUCGGCCCCUUGCGGAUGGAAUUGGGGACAGGGACGGGGACGGCAGCCGUGCCAAGUCUCGGCCCCUCGCGGGUGGAAUUGGGGAUGGGGACGGCGGCCGUGCCAGGUCUCGGGCCCUCGCGGGUGGAAUUGGGGACGGGGAUGGCGGCUGUGCCCGGUCUCGGCCCUUCGAGGGCGGCAUUGGGGACGGCGGCCGUGCCUGGUCUUGGCCCUUCGAGGGUGGUGCUGGGGACGGGGAUGGGGAUGGUGGCUGUGCACGGUCUCGGCCCCUCGAGGGCGGUGUUGGGGACGGGGACGGCAGCCAUGCCUGGUCUCAGCCCUUUGAGGGCAGUGUUGGGGACGGGGACGGCAGCUGUGCCYGGUCUCAGCCCCUCAUGA
rnacentral:lncRNA from 1 species